rnacentral:lncRNA from 1 species
GAAAAAAAUAUUAUAAAUAAUAGGAAAAUAUUGAUUAAUUCUGUUAAAAUAAACUAAAAUUUAUCUUAAAUCAUUCAUUGUUUAUUACAUAUUCAGCAAAAUUUAGGAGAAAGUCACAAAAAAUGAAAUGCUCCCCUGGAAUUAAUUUAAUGUGUGUGACACUUUUAUUGCUUUAUUGAGGCCACUCCUUCCUGGGAAAUUGCAGACAAUACUAUUUUAUUUGUGGCAUGUGGUAUUGAUUGGAUUGCUACAAUAAAUCAUCUGUGAUUCAAUUAAAGCAACAUAAAGUAUAUUAUAGCUGUUUUUUAUGUGUUAGGAUUUUUUGACAUAAAAUUUAUAAAAAGUACUGCACAAGUAUUGGUAAAAAUUGUACAAAUGAAGUAAGAACAAGUUAAUAAAUAUGAAAUACAGGUUGACAUUCAAAAAUCUAGCAACUAAAAAUCCAGUUUCUUCAGUGUUCCAGCAUGAAUUUCAGGAACAUAUUUUCAAAUUUCCCUGCACUGUCGCGCCACUGUUUUCUGGAAGUGCCAUUGAUGUUUUGAUGUACGCCCUGUGUUGCCAGGCUAGCAAAUUUUUUGAGAAAUACUUUAAUAUUGAAAUUUUAAUUUUGUCCAAGAUGCAAAAAAAAUCUAAUUUGACCACUCCUGGGUUUUAAGUAUGUAGCAAUGUAAUAAAUAAAAUGAGUUAAAUGAUAUUAACUCACUUUAUCUGAUAAUUUCAUUUUUUAUUAGUUAUUUUUCCUAGAAAGUAAUUUUUCAAACUUAAUUAAAUAGUAUUUUUAAUUGUUUACUUAAUUAGAAUUUGUAGUAACUUUCUAAAGACUACAAAUAAUCUAAUCUGAUUUAUUUAGCGAUUUUUGCCGCCAGAUGGCGAUUUUUUUGCAAUUGUUUGGUGACAUUGGUGUGAGAUUAUCUGGCAGCCAUGUGUACACUAUUCUCAGUUGUUCGGUGUUGCUUUCCAUGCUAAUAUGUAGCUCUGCUCAUUCCUUUUUUUUUUAAUAUUUAUUUGCUGUUGUUUAGCCCAAUUAUGGAUUCAGCAAAAAAGAAAUGUGGCAUAAAAACGUAAACAUCAUUCAUUAUCAAUCGCAUAUUUUUUUCCUUUAAAAGACUGUAAAUGUGGAACUUUUCUAUUAAAUA